GGCUGGUCCAAAGGUAGUGAGUUAUCUCGAUUGAUUGUUCACAGUCACAGAUCAAAUUCCUUGUUCUAUUCUUUCCCCUUCUCAAUAUUGCACUUGACUAGUCUUAA
rnacentral:Y_RNA from 1 species